AUAACCAAUGAAUACAUCCUUUCAGUAAGAGGACGUUUGCAAUCACAUUAACCCCUAUUCAGCAUUGUUUUGAAACUACUACAAUGCAACAACGCUGCACCCCCAUUGGCACUGGGCUUACAUCACAGACCAACCACUAUCCAUCUCUUCACACAGAUGACAGACUUCCCUACUCUCUGCCGUUCUCUUCCAUCCAUGAGUCAGACCGGAGUAAUGGCCAGUCGUUCCAGUGGAAUUCUGGGGCCAAUAGAGCAGCUAAACAACACGUUUUGCGUUAUCUCUCUAAUGACCGUGAAUGUGGCCAGGAGCACGCAUGGAGCACAGAUUUGAUUCAAAGGCAAGAUUCUAUCAGAUCCGCGCUAGCCGACUCCCACAAAGCAUUUGUUUUGGCGGUGUCGGAGGUGGAACUGCGCUAGAGCUGUCAAAUCCACAAGUGGCUCCCGGAUUACGUCUAAAGCGGACACUGUCAUUGGCUGCACAGAGUCGCAUCAACACUAGAAGCGCCAAUUGAGUCAUUUUGACUUAAUAUGAAUUUAAAAUUGAGAUACUGUAUCUCUGCCACGCCUGCCUCCAUGCUUGACUUUUCCUAAAUACAUCUAUUAAACACAGGCCCUGAGCCCUAGGAUCAUGGACCUGGCAUGAUGACUCCUUGUUGACCCCAGUCCACCUGGUCGUGCUGCUGCUCCAGUUCCAACUGUUCUGCCUGCGGCUAUGGAACCCUGACCUAGGUUUCUUCCUAGGUUUUGGCCUUUCUAGGGAGUUUUUCCUAGCCACC
rnacentral:lncRNA from 1 species